rnacentral:tRNA from 1 species
AUUUAAGUAGUUUAAUUAAAAUGUUGAUUUGUGAUAUCAGUGAUAUAUUAAGUUAUUUUAGAUA